CAGGAAAGCGGAAUCAAACAGGCCCUCGGCCAUGGCGAGGAACUUCAUCUUCCCCACCACAAUCCCCACAGCCUCUGCCUCCAGCCUCCCCAUCCGCCGCCAUCCCGCUGCCGGCCCCUCCCUGCCCUCCCCCCUCAAGCCCAACCGCUUCCGAAUUCCACCCAAACCCCCACGCUCCUCCAGAGUCCCCUCAGUCUCCCCCUCCCUCAAGAGCCCGACAGUCCGCGUCAUCUCGUCCGUCUCCUCAACCUUGAGGACCCUCCUAUUCCUGCUCGCCGCAGGCCUCCUCUCCCUCUCCGGCGUCCGCCCGCUCCCCGCCCUCGCCUCCGCUCCCCCGCCAACUCUGCAGCCACAGGAAAUCGAAGACGCGCAGCAAGAAUCCGAAGAAGGGAAGCAGGAGGUCGAGAAAGCAGAGGUAAAAGAGAAAGAGGGGGCAGCACGAGGAUGAGGACGACGAUGAGAUGCGUAUGUAUUCGGCGAUUCUGAGCCGCAGCCCGGGCGAUGUGGACGCGCUCAAGUGCGCGCUGUACGCCAAGAUGAGGCGGGCGGACUGGACCGGCGCGCUCCGGUACGCACGGCGGCUGCGUGACGCCGAGCCCGGCGAGGUGGAGUGGCGGCUGGUGGUGGCGCAGCUGCACGAGCUCACUGGGAAUCUCGCCGAGGCCGAGCGCCAGUACAGGGAGGUCCUAGCAGAGGAGCCGCUUCUCGUCCGUGCUCUCCAUGGAUUCGCACUGUGUAUGCAUAAGAAACUCGAAGGCCCUACUGUUUUUGAAAUACUUGAGAAUGCUUUGCAAGUUGCAAUUUCUGACAAAAGGGUCCCUGAAGAGCGCAACAUAAAGCUUUUGAUUGCACAGAUGCAUGUUGUCAUGGGUCAGUUCGAAGUCGCAUCUGAGAAACUACAAAAUCUUAUAGAUGAGGAUCCUCGAGAUUUCCGGCCUCACCUUUGCCAGGGCAUUGUGUAUGCACUUUUAGACAGGAAAGAAGACGCAGAUAAACAAUUUGAUAUAUACAGAAGCCUCGUGCCAGAUGAAUUCCCAGAUAAGAGUUUUAUUAAUGAUGUUAUACUGGCAGCUAAAAUGGAGUCAGAUGAUCAGAUACAAAAGGAAUUUGGAUCAGAAUUUUUAUCAAAGAAAUGAUCCAUUAGGAUUUUCAUAGCUGAACGUCUCGAUGGUUCUGGUAGAGGUAGAUACGUUGCAGAUGAAAUCUAGUAAAGGCCUAAAGGGAAGUGAGUGGGAGGUACUUCUCCUAGCAGUAUUUUUCUUUGCUCCUUCUCCGCCCUGCUGUCACUCCGCACUAGAAAUUUAGAAUAUAAUGAUGAGAGAUGAAGUAUUUAUGUCCACCACAGAAAAAUCUGCUUGAAAGUUCAUACUGAAAGAAGUGUACAUUGUUUUAUUUCGAAAAAAGAAGUGUACAUUGUGAGUUUACUGAGUUGUGAAAUGAUAUAUACAAGUUUACAUUCUGAAAGAAGUUGUAAACUCUAUCACAGUAAAGUAUUACCUCCCCUCUUUUGCACAAGCAUAUCCUUGUCUUAACUAACAUGUAUUCAUGUUGAGUUCCAUUCAUACAACUUCCAUAAGUGAGUGAUGACACUUGUAAACGAAUACUUUCUGUGUUCCAAACACCUUGCCUUCUAAAAGUUCCACUAGUUUUCCAGUCCUCUUGCACAUGCGAUUCUAUCCUAUUCCUACACCUCCUUAUCGUUGUGCUCUUCAAUUGCUUUUCAAAUGAGUAUGAUACUUGCAAAGGAAUCUUCAAAAAUCUCUGAAUUUCUAGUGUGGAGAGUGAGAGAAACACUCGAGUGUGAUUUAGCAAUUCCAAAAGCAAAACUCUACCGUGAGUAACCCACCGUUGUUGGUUUACUGUCCACGGUCUUGUACAGAUAUUUCUAGUUUGACAUAUUCCGAUUAAUUAUUUAGUAUCCUACUAACUAGUAUAUGCUUAUAUCAUUAAUAUUUUAUUUACUAUUAUACUUGCACAUAAUUUAUAUGAUAAUGUUCACUGAUCAUAUAUAAACUUUGAUAAGAACUAUAUAAGUGGUCCUAGCUUACUGUUAGUAAUGCAUAAAUUACUUUCAAUAAAUUCAAAUAUAAAAUAUCGUCUAACAAAUGCACAUCCAUUAAAUUUCCGAUUAGGGGACCUUACUAGAUUAAUCCUUUUUUUGAUAGGAUUAAAUCCUUCCGAUACAUCUCCCUCUCUCUCUUUCUAUCAUUUGACAAAAGACGUCCUAUAAAGUCUCCGCCAUCCAUAAAAAACAUGUUCAUUUCCCAUCACCAUUGAAGUGACACGUUCACAAAUUCUAAAUUCAAACUCUUUUUUAUCAGAAAUUCAAACUCUUUUGAUCGUGAAAACACGCAAAGUCGGUGUGAAGUGUGAAGUUGUCAGAGUAACCCGCUCCACGUCCAAAAGCCUAUAUUAACGCGCCGCACGCCCCCCUCCCCUCGCCCAAAAACCAAGGCCUUCUCGACCGACGGAGAUCAACAUACACAACCCGACGAGGCGACGCCCGGGCGAGGUCGCGCGAGCGCGACAGGAGACAGUUCGGCAGCGGCGAGCGAGAUGACGGACGGCCACCACUUCAACAUCUCCUCCCUCGGCGGCCGCGGCGGCUUCAACCCUGGACAGUUUAAACUUUGUUCAGGAUGACUUGCAUGGAAGAAGCAAGGUGGAGAAAAGAUUAUCGAGGUUGAUAAAGCUGAUAUCACUUCAGUAGCAUGGAUGAGGAUCCCAAAAUCUUAUCAGCUUAAUGUUGGGACGAAGGAAGGCCUAUUUUAUAGGUUCCUUGGCUUUCGUCAACAGGAUGUUAGCAUUCUGAGUAACUUUAUACAAAGAGGCACAGGAAUCUCACCACAGGAGAAGCAGCUUUCCAUUAGUGGGCAUAACUGGGGUGGAGUUGAAAUCGAUGGAACUAGGCUUUGCUUUAAUGUUGGUGAGAAGGAAGCAUUUGAAGUCUCUCUAGCAGAUGUAUCGCAGGCUCAGAUGCAAGGGAAAACAGAUGUUGUUCUCGAGUUCCAUGUAGAUGAUACUACUGCAGCUAAUGAGAAGGAUGUGCUGACGGACUUAAGUUUUCAUGUACCAACUUCAAAUGCUCAAUUUAUCGGGGAUGAGCAUCAUACUUCAGCUCAGAUAUUGUGCCAGGAGAUUUUGCAUAGAGCUGAUGGUGGGAGCCCCUCAGAAGCGGCUGUAGUUACAUUUGAAGGAAUUGCAAUCCUCACACCAAGAGGUCGAUACAGUGUUGAGCCUCAUCAGUCAUUCUUGCGACUCCAAGGACAAGCUAAUGAUUUCAAAAUCCAGUAUAGUAGUAUUCUUCACCUCUUUGUUUUGCCAAAGUCACAAAAUCCACAUACUUUUGUGGUUAUCGCACUUGAUCCACCAAUUCGAAAAGGACAAACAUUGUAUCCCCACAUUGUUUUUCAGUUUGAGACAGAGGCAAUGGUAGAAAGGGAGCUGGCAUUGAGUGAGCAAGUUUUGGCUGAAAAGUACAAAGAUAGGCUUCAGGGCUCUUACAGGGGUCAAAUACAUGAGGUAUUCUCCAACGUCCUUUGUGGCCUAUCUGGUCCUAAAGUGACUAGGCCAAGUACAUUCCGCAGUUGCCAACAUGGAUAUGCGGUCAAAUCAGCACUUAAAGCUGAAGACGGUUUGCUUUAUCCACUUGAAAAGGCUUUCUUCUUUCUGCCAAAACCUCCAACACUCAUUCUUUAUGAGGAGGUUGAGCAUGUAUUGUUUGAGCGUCAUGGUGCUGGUGGUGUUAAUACAUCAUCCCAGUAUUUUGACCUCUUGGUCAAGCUGAAAAAUGAUCAAGAACAUCUCUUCAGUAACAUCCAAAGGAUUGAAUACCAAAACCUGUUCAGCUUCCUUAGUGACAAGCAUUUGAAAAUUCUGAAUCUUGGAGAUGACCAAAGGAGAAAUGGUGGUGUUACAGCUGUUAUAGAGAGCACCGAUGAUGAUUCUGUGGAUCCACAUCUGGAGCGAAUUAAAAAUCAAGCUUGUAAUGAGGAAAGUGAUGAAGAGGAUGAAGAUUUUUGUGGCAGACAAAGACGAUAGUGGGUCUCCUAAUGAUGAUUCUGAAGAGGAAGACUCUGAUGCUAGUAUGAGCAGAGGUGAAGAGGAGAAUUCUUCCAAGAUGGAAGCUAGUAUCUCAAAGCCGCAUGUGAAAAAGAAGCUGAAUAGUGAGUCUGAUGAAGGUUCUCAGAAUAAAAAACCAAAGAGAAAGAAAGAGCAGAAGAGUGGAUUCGAUGAAGGUUCUCAAAAGAAAAAGGCAAAAAGGAAGAAAGAUCCGAAUGCCCCUAAAAGAGCCAUGGUUCCAUUCAUGUACUUCUCGAAGGCUGAGCGAGCUAAUAUAAAGAACAGCAACCAUGAACUGACUACCACAGAGAUUGCAAAGAAGCUCGGGGAAAGAUGGCAAAAGAUGACAGCCGAGGAGAGACAGCCAUAUGUGGAGCAAUCCCGAGCCGACAAGCAACGUUACGAGCAGGAGUCUGCAGCCUACCGUGGUGCAGCAGCUCAGCAGGGCCCCGGCGACGGGUCGGAAGGAUGGUUAUAGGUUUCCAGAGUUGACCAGUCUGGAGUUGACAGAAGGAUUGUCGAGCGAUCAGUGUAAAUAGGACGGAAAAAAGUUCUUAGCUUUUAAAUGUUGCAUGCAAUCUUUCUUAGCCAGUGUUACUAGUAAUAUGUGUUGCCUGGAGUAUCUUAUAAUCUGCCGUAAAGGGUGUAGAUCAAUCAAGAACAGUGUAGAAGUAAUCCCUCGUAUCCUUCUCUGAAGUCAUUAGUCA